AGGGAACGGUCGCUGCUGAUGUA
rnacentral:miRNA from 15 species